CCUACGGGAGGCAGCAGUGGGGAAUAUUGGACAAUGGUCGAAAGACUGAUCCAGCCAUGCCGCGUGCAGGAUGACUGCCCUAUGGGUUGUAAACUGCUUUUAUACGGGAAGAAAAACACCUACGUGUAGGUGACUGACGGUACCGUAAGAAUAAGGACCGGCUAACUCCGUGCCAGCAGCCGCGGUAAUACGGAGGGUCCAAGCGUUAUCCGGAAUCAUUGGGUUUAAAGGGUCCGUAGGCGGGCUAUUAAGUCAGAGGUGAAAGUUUGCAGCUCAACUGUAAAAUUGCCUUUGAUACUGAUAGUCUUGAAUUGUAGUGAAGUGGUUAGAAUAUGUGGUGUAGCGGUGAAAUGCAUAGAUAUCACAUAGAAUACCGAUUGCGAAGGCAGAUCACUAACUAUAUAUUGACGCUGAGGGACGAAAGCGUGGGGAGCGAACGGGAUUAGAUACCCCGGUAGUCCACGCCGUAAACGAUGGAUACUAGCUGUUGGAUUUUUUCAGUGGCUAAGCGAAAGUGAUAAGUAUCCCACCUGGGGAGUACGUUCGCAAGAAUGAAACUCAAAGGAAUUGACGGA
rnacentral:rRNA from 1 species